rnacentral:rRNA from 1 species
AGGGUUUGAUCCUGGCUCAGAACGUACGCUGGCGGCACGCCUAACACAUGCAAGUCGAACGAAGUAGCAAUACUUAGUGGCAGACGGGUGAGUAACAUGUAGGUAUCUGCCCUUUGGCCUGGAAUAACACGAGGAAACUUGUGCUAAUACCGGAUAAGUCUUUACGGAGAAAGCUUUAUGCACCAUUGGAUGAGCCUGCACUUGAUUAGUUUGUUGGUGGGGUAAUGGCCUACCAAGACUGUGAUCAAUAGCUGAUUUGAGAGGAUGAUCAGCCACAUUGGGACUGAGACACGGCCCAAACUCCUACGGGAGGCAGCAGUGGGGAAUCUUGCACAAUGGAGGAAACUCUGAUGCAGCGAUGCCGCGUGAGUGAAGAAGGCCUUUGGGUUGUAAAGCUCUUUCGUCGGGGAAGAAAAUGACUGUACCCGAAUAAGAAGGUCCGGCUAACUUCGUGCCAGCAGCCGCGGUAAUA